rnacentral:rRNA from 1 species
UACGGAGGAUCCAAGCGUUAUCCGGAAUUACUGGGCGUAAAGAGUUGCGUAGGUGGCAGAGUAAGUAGAUAGUGAAAGCGUGUGGCUCAACCAUACAUCCAUUAUCUAAACUGCUCAGCUAGAGGACGAGAGAGGUAGAUGGAAUUCCCAGUGUAGGAGUGAAAUCCGUAGAUAUUGGGAAGAACACCGAUGGCGUAGGCAGUCUACUGGCUCGUUCCUGACACUAAGGCACGAAAGCGUGGGGAGCAAACGGG